rnacentral:rRNA from 1 species
GACGAACGCUGGCGGCGUGCUUAACACAUGCAAGUCGAACGGAAAGGCCCUGCUUUUGUGGGGUGCUCGAGUGGCGAACGGGUGAGUAACACGUGAGUAACCUGCCCUUGACUUUGGGAUAACUUCAGGAAACUGGGGCUAAUACCGGAUAGGAGCUCCUGCUGCAUGGUGGGGGUUGGAAAGUUUCGGCGGUUGGGGAUGGACUCGCGGCUUAUCAGCUUGUUGGUGGGGUAGUGGCUUACCAAGGCUUUGACGGGUAGCCGGCCUGAGAGGGUGACCGGCCACAUUGGGACUGAGAUACGGCCCAGACUCCUACGGGAGGCAGCAGUGGGGAAUAUUGCACAAUGGGCGGAAGCCUGAUGCAGCAACGCCGCGUGCGGGAUGACGGCCUUCGGGUUGUAAACCGCUUUCGCCUGUGACGAAGCGUGAGUGACGGUAAUGGGUAAAGAACCACCGGCUAACUACGUGCCAGCAGCCGCGGUGAUACGUAGGGUGCGAGCGUUGUCCAGAUUUAUUGCGCAUAAAGGGCUCGUAGGUGGUUGAUCGCGUCAGAAGUGUAAUCUUGGGGCUUAACCCUGAGCGUGCUUUCGAUACAGGUUGACUUGAGGAAGGUAGGGGAGAAUGGAAUUCCUGGUGGAGCGGUGGAAUGCCCACAUAUCAGGAGGAACACCAGUGGAGAAGGCGGUUUUCCUGGCCUUUCCCGACGUUGAGGAGCGAAGCCGUGGGGAGCGAACAGGCCUUAGAUCCCCUGGUAGUGCACGCUGUAAACGGUGGGUACUAGGUGUGGGGUCCAUUCCACGGGUUCCGUGCCGUAGCUAACGCUUUAAGUACCCCGCCUGGGGAGUACGGCCGCAAGGCUAAAACUCAAAGGAAUUGACGGGGCCCCGCACAAGCGGCGGAGCAUGCGGAUUAAUUCGAUGCAACGCGUAGAACCUUACCUGGGUUCGACAUGGAUCGGGAGUGCUCAGAGAUGGGUGUGCCUCUUUUGGGGUCGGUUCACAGGUGGUGCAUGGUUGUCGUCAGCUCGUGUCGUGAGAUGUUGGGUUAAGUCCCGCAACGAGCGCAACCCUUGUUCACUGUUGCCAGCACGUUAUGGUGGGGACUCAGUGGAGACCGCCGGGGUCAACUCGGAGGAAGGUGGGGAUGACGUCAAGUCAUCAUGCCCCUUAUGUCCAGGGCUUCACGCAUGCUACAAUGGCUGGUACAGAGAGUGGCGAGCCUGUGAGGGUGAGCGAAUCUCGGAAAGCCGGUCUCAGUUCGGAUUGGGGUCUGCAACUCGACCUCAUGAAGUCGGAGUCGGUAGUAAUCGCAGAUCAGCAACGCUGCGGUGAAUACGUUCCCGGGGCU